AGGUUUUUGAUAUGGUUAUUGAAGGUAAUGACAUCUUUCCACUUCCAUUUCUUUGCUUGUAUCAUCUUUAUUUUAUGUUGAUUCUUGUAGGCUAUGCACAUAUAAGAUGACUGAUUUUAGCUUGCUUGCAAAUUCUGUUGGAUGAGUCACAGAAGUCCUUUGCAUAUUUAAGUAUGAUAGCGGAAUGCUUUUUAAUGGUGUUACUUAUAGUCUCUAGGGUAAAAGAAAAGAAAAUUGUGAUAAUAAAAAAGAUGGGAUUGAUUAGCAAGCUUCCCAUAGUAGGCUGCUGGGAGUUGGAGAGUCUAAAGGAACCUGUUGUGAGAUGAACUCUAGUCAGCUCUCUCUUCUUCCAACCUUCUAUGAUCCUUCCGGAGCUAAUCAUUGAAGUUGAGUGUGAUGGGUUCCAGCUCCACCUUAAUUGAAUAAGGUCUCUUUCUUCUGACUUUGCCAAUGAAAUCAGGUAGUUGAAUAGACUGAGGUAUCUAGAUAGUGUUCUGUGAGUGAACGGAAGUGUGAUUCCUUUUUCGUUAAAUGUGAACUCUGCAAAAGCCUCUAAUCUGGCAUUCCAUCCUCUCCCAAUAGAUGGUGGAAAUUUUGUAACUGGUACCUCUUCUUGAUGAGGUAAUUCACUUUAUGUCCAACAGUCCAAAUCAUCUCAUUUGCCCUUUU
rnacentral:misc_RNA from 1 species